AGUGUUAUGCCAGAAGCUGAAUGGGCCGUUUUGAUGUGACGGAGGUGAGAAGUUCUCUAAUGCUA
rnacentral:tRNA from 1 species